GACGAACGCUGGCGGCGUGCUUAACACAUGCAAGUCGAACGGUGAAGGGACCAGCUUGCUGGUUCUGGAUGAGUGGCGAACGGGUGAGUAACACGUGAGUAACCUGCCCCCUUCUUCUGGAUAACCGCAUGAAAGUGUGGCUAAUACGGGAUAUUCUGGGUCUGUCGCAUGGCGGGCCCGGGAAAGAUAUUGCUUCGGUGGGGGAUGGGCUCGCGGCCUAUCAGCUUGUUGGUGGGGUGAUGGCCUACCAAGGCGGUGACGGGUAGCCGGCCUGAGAGGGUGGACGGUCACACUGGGACUGAGACACGGCCCAGACUCCUACGGGAGGAAGCAGUGGGGAAUAUUGCACAAUGGGCGAAAGCCUGAUGCAGCGACGCCGCGUGAGGGAGGGAGGCCUUCGGGUUGUAAACCCCUUUCGCCAGUGAAGCAGGCCUGCUCCUUGUGGGUGGGUUGACGGUAGCUGGAUAAGAAGCGCCGGCUAACUACGUG
rnacentral:rRNA from 1 species